GAGAGAGAGAGAGAGAGGAAAUGGCAACGAAAGAGGACAAUCGAGAAACACCCAAAACGUCGUCGAAGGUGCUGUCGCUAUUUUUCUUUUAUAAUUUUCCUGUCUUAUGCGAUUGAUAUAAUAAAGCUAGAAUUUUUCAUUUGCUUGCUGAGAAAAUAUUCGAGGGAAAGGAAUUGAAUCGAAUUCUCUAGAUUUUAAGUUUGUUUAUUUUUCUUUCUUCUAUUUUCUUGCCGGCCAAACACUGGAUGCUGGAUGCGUUUGUUAUUUAUACUACUGCUGGUUGUUUGGCUGUAUCGUUUUUCUUUAGCUCUGGUGAUGUAAAUGAAAUUCGAUCUUAAAUACUUUGAUGGGAUUCAAAUUAGCUAGUGGCUAGUGGGUGUUCGAUAAAAUGCUUAAAAGAGUUGAUUGCAUGCUAAUACCGAUGAGCCUUAGCUCAUCUCGCAUGAAUUUGUUUAUAUUUCGAUAGUGGUAAUGCGUACCUUUCAGUAGGUGAAUCCAAUGUCAAAUGAUAGUAAUAACAUAUAGGUUUAAUGAUUUUAUUUGAACCUUAUAUGAUUAUAUCUGCUAAUUCAUUUCAUGGAUUAAUUCCUACUUUGGUGCCUACAAGCUUGCUAUCUAUUUCCAUAUGUGUUUUAUCUUGGGAUAAUUGUGGACCUGCGAAAUUCCUUAGCCCUUGGUUUCAUAGAAUAGAUUCUUCUUGGUGCAGUUUCUUCUUUCUUUAAAGUGCUUAACUUUAAAUUUUAGUAAUUGGAGCAGGUUCUCAUCGUGAGCAAACAUUUUUAAGAUUGCUUUUGCUGUCAUCACGUUUAAUUUUUGCAAUUUGAAAGGAAAUAUGGCUGUAACCAGGGAAGAAUAUGAGCUGGGGGCAUACUGGGAGCAAAAGGGUGAAUGAUUGCCAAAAAAGAAAAAGGCUGGAACUAUUCCCUUGGACUAAUAAAACAAACCAAACGAGCUAGUGUAGUCUUCUAAACUAGUUACAAUCUAAUAGCAUUCCAAGCACUUUUUCUUCUGCAGCAACUUACAAUAUAAUAGCAUUCCAAGCACUUUUAUCUGACAAUUUUUCAACAUUUGCGUUGAUCCAAACAACUUAUUUUAUUUUAUUUAUCCUCAUUAGAUCUAUAGGAGGAACCAUACUCAAAUUCCAUAACUAUUAAGAGCUGCCACUUGAAUUUGAAAAAGAGGUUGUGUCAUAGACAAUAGCAAAGUUUUAGUCCAUGGGAAGCGGACCUCUAUGAUGCUGAUUAUCAAUUCAUUAAGAAAUUUACUUGAUAAUGUGUUUUAGAUGGAGUCCAAUAUGGUAUUGGUCGAGGGAUCCACAAAUUUGUUUCUUGAGAUGUGUGUCCCACAACCCCAUUUUCCUCUCAUUUCUUGUCCCCUCCAUUUUCCUUCAUCUCCCAAGCAGAGAGUCGAGCAGAAAUUCACUUGAUUCCUAAACCUCCAUCUUAGUCUUGCAAAUAGAAUGCUAGUAAACAUUUUUGACCUUGGGUAUUUGAAUAUUACAUUCUUGGAGUACUAUAUGCAUGGGAUUUAAACAUAGAACCUUCAGCAUUAGCAUCUAUUAUUUGCAGAAGGAGAUGAUCUUUCUAUCAUGUUAUCUUCCCUGCUAAUACAAUGUUAUGCUUUACGCUAGAGGGACUUUAGUUUAAACAAUUCUCCAAUAAUGAGAAUGAUCACACCUCUAAGUCUUUUUAGGAACCCAAUCUUACUUUAAUUCUUCCAUCCAUCAUCACCAACGUAUUCUUUUUCUGAAGAUAGAAAGAGAGUGGAACUGUUUGAGGAGUACUUUUCAGUCAAAACGUAACGUUGUCAGGAAGUUCAUUGUCAUCUGCUACCAUUUUCCAGUGGCCUUCUCCUUGUUGAGAGGGCCCCAAAAGCAUUUCCCAGAUAGCUGAGAUCAUUUGUUUAGGUACGUGCUCCAUUGGGAUGUGUCAUAGUUAUUAGCCCAAACUGUCAAUUUUGUAGCUGUAGGUUUAACGAGUUUCAUGCAAAGUUUCCACUUUUUUAGAACUGAAGUUUGAUUAGCAAUAUUCCAGGACCCUGCUUCUAUAGUCACUUUCCUAUCUAGAGCUAUGGAACUUGAAAUGCCACAAAAUUGUAUUUUGCCAUAACUUCCACUGGUCCAUAAUAUCCCCAAAGCAUAUCAACAACUGCGAACGUGAUUGUAUUGAUAGAAGUGGUAAUCCAUCAUAGAGAUGCAUUGUUUUUUUCUGUAGAUCCAAUAUAUAAUGUUCUUCUGAUACGAACUUGAACUUGCAUUAACAGUAGACAGUGCUUGUUCCUCAAUCUUUGUUAUUAUGUUGUUGCCUUCCCAUUAUUUGUUCACAUCUGAGGGAAAUCUGAAAGAAGAGAUGGUAAAUUAUCUUUUUGUAAUUUUGAUUGCAGAAUCCACGAUGGGCAGUGCGAUCAGUGGAUACCUAUGCUGCGCAAUGUGAAAAAUGCUCAAAAUGGAGGGUAAUUGCAACGCAAGAAGAGUACGAGGAAAUAAGAAGCAAAAUCUUCGAGAAUCCCUUUGUUUGUGACAGAAAACCCGGUGUAUCUUGUGAGGAUCCUGCUGACAUCGAAUACAAUGCAACUCGAACUUGGGUCAUUGACAGGCCUGGGAUCCCAAAGACCCCUGUAGGUUUUAAGAGGAGCUUGGUGCUCAGACGAGAUUUCUCUAAAAUGGAUGCUUAUUAUAUCACUCCCACAGGAAAGAAACUAAGAACGAGAAAUGAAAUUGCUGCAUUUUUAGAAGCAAAUCCAAAAUACAAAGAUGUAUCUAUUGAGGACUUCAAUUUCACUUCUCCAAAGGUAAUGGAAGACACUAUACCUGAAGAUGGAAAGAAGGUUAAUGCUAGUGGUAGCGGUAAUGGAUAAAGUAAGGCAUUAAAUGAUGCAGCUUGAGCUGGUAUGCUGUGUCUCUAAGUAACUUGUUAUUGGGUGUUGUAUCUCUACAAGGUUGGUGUGAUGGGGGGUUUUUUUGUUCAUUUUCGCUGCAUGGGAGGGAUUUUUUGGGGCCAAUACAUUUUGCAGAUGAUGGCAGAACAAUUGCGUAGUUGCGAGAAUCCUAUUUAUUUUCCGAUUAGGUUGCUGGCUCUUUAUUGAUCGCUUGGAGUAACGCAAUGCCAAACAAAGGCCAUUGAAAUUUGGCAAUGCAAUCCCAAAAACUGAAUUCCAGCAAAGUUUAUUUGGGGUUUUUUUUUUCCCCUGCCGAGAGGGGAGAGAGGGGUGUGAACUGUGGAGGCAAAUUGCAUUUCUUCAUGGUGUUUUAUACCACAAGUUUUCAAUGUGGGCAAUGCAUAAAUGAUUACUAUAAAAUUAAUCGCGUAUUUUCUUUUAAUAAAAAUUUUCAAAUUUAUAAAUAAAAUUAAAAAGGGACUUUUUCAUUUUAUAUUGAUUUAUUGAAAUAUAAAAAGAUUUUGAUAUGUAAUAGCCAAAAUGAAUUCUAACCCAAAAUAAGCUACGAACUUUUUUGAAUGUUUGUUUUUAAGCUCUAGUAAAUAAUCCCAAAGAACAAAGUUGUCAUUGGUAUUAUUGUUUAAACUAUUAUUAAAAAAAGUAUUUUUUAAAUAUACUAUUAAGACAAUAUUAAGAAAAUUUAAAAUUAAAUUUAAUAAAU
rnacentral:misc_RNA from 1 species